UUGAAAGGGAAACGAUUGAAGUCAGUCGUACCUAUGGGUAAUCAGCCUUUUGGGUGUGAUUUUGUGGAGCGUGAGGAGUUAAACGCCUUCAUGCCUGCAUAUUCGUGCACUUUGGGUGUACUUGCCCGUGUGUAAGUUAACAUCAAUUUUGGUGGUCAUAAAAUGGCUGGAGGAAUGUAGCUUCGAUCUUGUAUUGAAGUGUUAUAGCCUUCGGUAGAUGUGACGAUCGGGAUUGAGGAUUGCAACGGAUACCCUUCGGGGCUACCUGUCUGAUCUCUGAUUGUUGCUCUGGUGCCGAAAGCUUGCUUACGGUUAUUAAAGUCGAUGGUCAAUAGGUUAGAAUGGGUUAAAUUCGUUAAGGAUGUUGACGU
rnacentral:rRNA from 1 species